rnacentral:rRNA from 1 species
AGGGAUAUAAAGCACCGCCAAGUCCUUUGAGUUUUAAGCAAUGGCUAGUAGUACUCUGGCGAAUAAUUUUGUUAAUUAAAUAUUUGUGUUUAGGGCUAA